rnacentral:rRNA from 1 species
ACGGAAAGACCCCGUGAACCUUUACUAUAGCUUGACACUGAACAUUGAAUUUUGAUGUGUAGGAUAGGUGGGAGACUAAGAAGUAGUCACGCCAGUGAUUAUGGAGUCGACCUUGAAAUACCACCCUUUAACGUUUGAUGUUCUAACGAAGAUUGCGAAACGCGGUCUCGGACAGUGUCUGGUGGGUAGUUUGACUGGGGCGGUCUCCUCCCAAAGAGUAACGGAGGAGCACGAA